GCUUUCAACAUCCCCGUUCCGGGUCCGCCGCGGCGAACGCCGGGACUGAAGGC
rnacentral:sRNA from 12 species